rnacentral:rRNA from 1 species
UACGGGGGGGGCAAGCGUUGUUCGGAAUUACUGGGCGUAAAGGGCUUGUAGGUGGCCAACUAAGUCAGACGUGAAAUCCCUCGGCUUAACCGGGGAACUGCGUCUGAUACUGGAUGGCUGGAGUGUGGGAGAGGGAUGCGGAAUUCCAGGUGUAGCGGUGAAAUGCGUAGAUAUCUGGAGGAACACCGGUGGCGAAGGCGGAUCUCUGGGCCUUACCUGACGCUCAGGUGCGAAAGCUAGGGGAGCGAACAGG